rnacentral:rRNA from 1 species
AGAGUUUGAUCAUGGCUCAGAACGAACGCUGGCGGCAUGCCUAACACAUGCAAGUCGAACGAGACCUUCGGGUCUAGUGGCGCACGGGUGCGUAACGCGUGGGAAUCUGCCCUUGGGUUCGGAAUAACAGUUAGAAAUGACUGCUAAUACCGGAUAAUGUCUUCGGACCAAAGAUUUAUCGCCCAGGGAUGAGCCCGCGUAGGAUUAGCUAGUUGGUAGGGUAAAGGCCUACCAAGGCGACGAUCCUUAGCUGGUCUGAGAGGAUGAUCAGCCACACUGGGACUGAGACACGGCCCAGACUCCUACGGGAGGCAGCAGUGGGGAAUAUUGGACAAUGGGCGCAAGCCUGAUCCAGCAAUGCCGCGUGAGUGAUGAAGGCCUUCGGGUCGUAAAGCUCUUUUACCCGGGAUGAUAAUGACAGUACCGGGAGAAUAAGCUCCGGCUAACUCCGUG